UGGGGAAUUUUGGACAAUGGGCGAAAGCCUGAUCCAGCAAUGCCGCGUGUGUGAAGAAGGCCUUCGGGUUGUAAAGCACUUUUGUCCGGAAAGAAAUCCUUGGCUCUAAUACAGUCGGGGGAUGACGGUACCGGAAGAAUAAGCACCGGCUAACUACGUGCCAGCAGCCGNGGUAAUACGUAGGGUGCAAGCGUUAAUCGGAAUUACUGGGCGUAAAGCGUGCGCAGGCGGUUUGCUAAGACCGAUGUGAAAUCCCCGGGCUCAACCUGGGAACUGCAUUGGUGACUGGCAGGCUAGAGUAUGGCAGAGGGGGGUAGAAUUCCACGUGUAGCAGUGAAAUGCGUAGAGAUGUGGAGGAAUACCGAUGGCGAAGGCAGCCCCCUGGGCCAAUACUGACGCUCAUGCACGAAAGCGUGGGGAGCAAACAGGAUUAGAUACCCUGGUAGUCCACGCCCUAAACGAUGUCAACUAGUUGUUGGGGAUUCAUUUCCUUAGUAACGUAGCUAACGCGUGAAGUUGACCGCCUGGGGAGUACGGUCGCAAGAUU
rnacentral:rRNA from 1 species